ACCCCCUGGCUAUGGACAAGGAGACACCUGAUUGGUGGUGUUGCUCUUAUGUCAGUCAGGGGCAAAGCAGAUGUACAGUCCUUAGUUCAUCCUAGCUUGAUGCCUGUGUUGGUGGCCAAAGCUGUUUCAUGCCUGAGGCACAUAA
rnacentral:snoRNA from 1 species